CCUCUCAGAGUACAUCUUAUCCCAUUACACAAUUCUCCAUCUCAAAUAAAAAAGAUAUAUCUUUAAUUCUUUAUUCGAAGAAAAGAAAAUCGAAAAACAAGCCCAGAAGCAAAGACCAGGCAGUUGAAAGGCACACAAAAGCUAGCUUAGCGGCCGUUGUUUCUUCACUACUUGCAUUUGCAUUUCCCCCCACUUACACCACAUAUAAAGCAUUGCAUUGGAUUACCCAAAUCGCAUUUUCUUUCGCUUCUAAGCCACAAUUUAUCUUUCAUAAUUCCUACUAUUUUUUCUUUUUUAUCUUUAUUCAAAGGGUUUCUCUCUCUCUUUUUUUCCCCUGAAACUCUCGUCACUGUUCUUCUUCUUCUCUCUCUGUUUCAGCUUUUUUCUUUUUUUCCUUUAAUGGUCUAAGAAUGAGAAACUAAAAGACGCUGCUGAAUUCUUCUUCUUCUUGUAGAAGUGGGAGAGAAAAUGAGUGGUAUAGCUUCUCGUUUUGAUUUCAAAGAGAUUCAAGAGAAGGUUUCUCUUCAUUUGAGACCAUGGCAUCGUUCAUUUCAAUUCUGGGUUCGAGCUGCUGAUAUUUAUACUGGCUACAAGGUGUUUCAAGUCCGGGUGAGUUUCGUGAAGGAUGUUCAAAAACAACAUGCAAUGUGGGAAAGACAGCAUGAGCUUGCUGCUGAUAAGAUUUAUGCUAUGUGUUCUGACCUUGGUGGGUUCUUCCUUAAGGUUGCUCAAAUUAUUGGGAAGCCGGACCUAGCCCCAGCUGCAUGGGUGAAAAAGCUUGUUACUUUGUGUGAUCAAGCCCCUGCAACACCAUUUGAUGGUGUUCAACAUGUUUUAGAGAAGGAGUUGGGUCAAAGUAUUAGCGAAAUUUUUGAAAAGUUUGAUGUAAAUCCUCUUGGUUCGGCUUCAAUUGCACAGGUUCAUCGAGCAAGACUCAAAGGCAAUAAGAAUGAUGUUGUUGUUAAGGUUCAACAUCCUGGAAUCCAAGAACUGAUGAUGACUGACAUCCGUAACUUGCAAGCAUUUGCAUUGUACAUGCAAAAGACAGAUAUCAAAUUCGAUUUGUAUUCUGUUACCAAAGAAAUGGAAACACAGAUUGGGUAUGAAUUCGAUUUUCUAAGAGAAGCCAAUGCUAUGGAGAGGAUUCACCAUUUCUUAUAUGAGAACAACAGAAAAUCUCCAGUUCUAGUUCCGAGAGUGGUUCGGGAUUUGGCUUCAAGGAGGGUCUUAGUGAUGGAAUAUAUCGAUGGAAUCCCGAUCUUGAAACUCGGUGAUGAAAUGGCUAAAAGAGGGAUUAAUCCUGGUGGUAAGAUGGCAGCAGCAGCAAAGCAGAACAUACUUAAGAGUUUGACACUAGCAUAUGGCCAGAUGAUACUAAAGAGUGGUUUCUUCCAUGCAGAUCCCCAUCCCGGGAAUAUAUUGAUCUGUAAAGGUUCAGAGGUUGCUUUACUGGACUACGGGCAAGUGAAGGAUCUGCCUGACCAAUUGAGGCUCGGAUAUGCUAAUUUGGUUCUAGCCAUAGCUGAUAAUGAUCCUGUAAAAGCAAUGGAAAGUUAUAGAGAACUCGGGAUAGGUACUGUAAGCAACUGUGGGAAUGAACAACAGGAACUGCUUCGCUUGGCCCAAACAAUGUUUGAUACGAAACUACCUCCCGGAGUGGUAAUGCUGCAACCUUUCUCCGAAGAUUCUUCAAUAAAGAAAAUCGCUGUAGAGUCUUUCCCCGAGGAACUCUUCUCGAUUCUUCGUACAGUACAUCUUUUGAGAGGACUUAGUGUUGGUCUUGGAAUUAACUUCUCGUGUGCAGAACAAUGGAGGCCUAUUGCAGAAGAGGCUUUGUAUAAUGCUGGAAGGUUAAAAGAAAGAGUAGAGUACGAAAGCUGAGUUCUUUCAGGAGAUUUACCUGGAGAAAUUGAUCGGCAGUUGUACAAAAAGGAAUCAAAGCAUUAAGACCAAUAUACGAAAUCUGGGUUCUUUUGGGAGAUUUUUUCCAGAGAGCUUGAUUGGCAACCUGAAGAAAAGGUAGGGCUUAAACCAGUCUAUAUAAGUACCAGGUUGCUGUAUAUAUAUAUAGAGAGAGAGAGAGAUUACUAGCUUAUUUAUGGACUGAUUUAACUGUUUCUUAUUUUCUUUUUUUGAUUUCGAUUUUUGAAAUUCGAUUCAUUUGUAACAAAUACAUCAUCUACAUUCAUUAGGCAUCUUCGUUUGUGAUUUUUACGA